rnacentral:lncRNA from 1 species
UCCUGCUGAUACCCACAGUGAAACAUUAGAAAAGCAUGUGCGACAAUUGGGCAAUGCUCGGAGAUGCGCACAGCGCAGGGGAUGACAAUUUGCUGACCUGGACAGGGACCAAGUGUGUGUGUUCCGGUUGGGUGGCUGCAUAACGCUGCCAGCAUGUAUAUAUUAUCCAUCUCUCCCCACCCCGGCCUAACCCAGAUGCUGCAUGACUGAUUGUACCCCAGAGAAGCUCCAGCCUCUUCAGGUAAUUCAAUUGCUGAGUCUCCAAAACCAAUGAAUUAAAAAAAAAAACCAAAACA